rnacentral:rRNA from 1 species
GACGAACGCUGGCGGCGUGUCUAACACAUGCAAGUCGAACGGGUGCAGCAAUGCAUCAGUGGCGGACGGGUGAGUAACGCGUAGGUAACCUGCCUCAUAAUGGGGGAUACCCAGCCGAAAGGCUGGCUAAUACCGCAUACGCUCAUAUUCUGGAAUGGAUAUGAGGAAAGAUUUAUCGUUAUGAGAGGGGCCUGCGUCCGAUUAGCUAGUUGGUGGGGUAAUAGCUUACCAAGGCGACGAUCGGUAGCUGGUCUGAGAGGACGAUCAGCCACACUGGAACUGAGAGACGGUCCAGACUCCUACGGGAGGCAGCAGUGGGGAAUUUUUCCGCAAUGGGCGAAAGCCUGACGGAGCAACGCCGCGUGGAUGAUGACGCCUUUCGGGGUGUGAAAUCCUUUCAGCAGGGACGAACACAAUGACGGUACCUGCAGAAGAAGC